GAAAAGCCUUCAGUUCAGCUGUGUAUGUUGUUUUUAAUGCACCAGUGGAAGAGCAGGCGUACCAGGGUCUAUGAGAGAUUUCUGCUUGGUCUUUGAAGGGCAGAAGAAUAUUAAGUAAGGUAUACCUGCAAAGAUGUUGCUAGGACUAUCAAGCAAUGGCAGGCAAUAGGCUGGGAUGCAUCUCCGUUGCUUUAUGUGAGGAUCAGAGCUACCGUGUUCCCAGAUGGAUGCUAACUGAAGGGACAGGAGAGAAGUCCCCAGCCCUUUACAAAUUUGAGUCCAUUAUCUAUAUUGGAGACUGAAGUGAAAUUUUGGUCUGUUGAGCACUGAACUUUUACAGCAGAGUGCAGAGAAAUCAUUCAAAUCAGGUGUUUCCAUAAUUGCAAUGCACUAGGGGCAAUUCUGAGAGCUGAAUAGAUCCCAAAUUUACCCUUCCAGCUGAUCGAUGCAGCAGUUUAGUGUUAGUACACAAUGUAAUAAAAUAAAUUGCAUCGGAAAACA
rnacentral:lncRNA from 1 species